rnacentral:sRNA from 1 species
AUAACGGCGCUGGCACCGCCCCUUCUCGAUAACUCGCAGAGCUGGGCUGGUAAAAUUGCAGUGCUAAGAACACUGGACCCGCAAAAGGCUGUCCCUCCCAAACCUGGGAUUCUGGGCUCACUGAGUUCACCUGCGAGUCAGCCCUACCUGCACUGCUCUGGUCUAGUACAAACAGGCUGCUGGCAUUGAGGGACGGAGUCUCCAACUCCUGGCCUCUAGCAGUCCUCCUGUGUAGGUCUCCCAAAGUGCUAGUAUGUCCAGAAUUGGUGGGUUCUUGGUCUCACUGACUUCAAGAAUGAAGCCGCGGACCCUCGCGGUGAGUGUUACAGUUCUUAAAGGCGGCGUGUCCGGAGUUUGUUCCUUCUGAUGUUCAGAUGUGUUCGGAGUUUCUUCCUUCUGGUGGGUUCGUGGUCUUGCUGGCUCAGGAGUGAAGCUGAAGACCUUCACAUCAGUCUGACCCACAGUUGUCCUCUGCUGACUUCAGAAAUAAUAAUCUGGCCAGUAGACAUUCGGUUUCGGUCCUUUAGGCCCUUCGCCUCAGGCAUUG